CAGGGUAUAGUUUAACAGCAGAACACCUUCCUUACGCGGAGGAAACACUCAUUCAAAUUGAGUUGCCCUGA
rnacentral:tRNA from 1 species